ensembl:snoRNA
UGCACUUGUGCUUGUUUUUGUUCAGUUUUGUGGACAAAGACUUAGACCUAAGUGCAGAAAAUAAAUCCUCUUUUGCAACCCAGAACUCAUGGCUCAAUAUGAGUUUUGAUACAUGUAAGAAGGAACAAG